rnacentral:rRNA from 1 species
UACGUAGGCAGCAAGCGUUUGUUCGGAAUUACUGGGCGUAAAGAGUGUGUAGGCGGUGUUCUAAGUUUGUCGUGAAAUCUCCCGGCUUAACUGGGAGGGUGCGGCGAAAACUGGAAUGCUAGAGGAUGGGAGAGGUAAGCGGAAUUCCUGGUGUAGCGGUGAAAUGCGUAGAUAUCAGGAGGAACACCUGUGGUGUAGACAGCUUACUGGACCAUUUCUGACGCUGAGACACGAAAGCUAGGGGAGCAAACAGG